rnacentral:sRNA from 1 species
AAUAAGAGAUAUCGGGUGCAGGGCCUUCUCCUCCUCCGGCUGUUCUCCUUCACAGUCGUGAUCCAUGUGCCGCACAGGCGGUAUCCCGCUUCGUGUGCAAAAAAGCUCGUC